UAUGACUCUAAAAUUCAUAUAAUAUGAUCUCAAACAAAAUAAUUAUGUUUUUUGGUAUAAAACCGAAUAAACCGAAAACCGACGGUAUAUAAACCGAACCGAACCGAAGUAAAUAUGGAUUUAGAAUGGUAGUCAUAUUUUACUAACCGAAAUACCGAAAACCGAAAAAAACCGAACCGAAACCGAACCGAUAUCCGGAUUGAACACCCCUAGAUUUAAUAUAUCUUACCACUUGCCAAUAAUAUGAUUUAUGGUUUAUAUAAAUAAACUAUAUUAAUUGUUUUAAAUUUUCAUAUAUAUAUAUAUAUAUAUAUUGAUGGGUUAGAAAUAAAAUGUAGAUAUAUAACAAUUAAGGUGAAACAUCAUUAAUUUUUUCGGUAAUCAAUCAUCAUUAAUUUUUUUGACAUCAAACGGCUGAUCUAUUACUCAAGUUUGAGGUGGUCUGGGGAACCAACCGAAAUAGAACAACCAAUGUAAUACAAGUCUCAAUGAAAUAAACCAAUCAUCAUUAAUUUAAGGGGUUUUUGCAAAUAUGACUCAAAACUUAAAGUCAAACACAAAACUAACCCAUGUGUUUUUUGAAACUUUGACUUGCCUCUUUCACCCCCAAAAAUCUAAUUAUUUACGAAAAUGUCAUAACUUUUUUUUUUGGAAAAUGCAUAUUUUUCUCUAUUAUCUUCAUCUUCCUCAAGUAUUCACAAUAUUGUCAUUGCCAUCAAUACACCAACCACCAUGAACAACAAAUUUGAAACUCUUAAUGCACCUAAAUAUCGAUUUAGACUCUUUCAUUCUCAAUUCUUAUGAACUAAAAACAACAUCUCUUUCACUUUCUCUCCAUAUUCAUCCAAAGAAAACACAAGAUUUUGAUUCUAAAAUUUUUAUGGUUCAUAGAGCCAUUGAAGCUUACGAUUCUUUGAUGGGUCACUUUUGAUGGAGAUUUUGGGUGCUUGGAGAAGACUUAUGUGUGAUAAACAAGUUAUCUCACUGGUUGAAACUAUGAAAUCAGUUUUUUCCCAGAUCUGUUCGUCCAGACAAGUAAGUCGUCUGGCUGUAGAUCACUUACACGGAAGUCUUCUGGUCAAUGCACAUGUUAGUUUUGCAAUUGACUUUUAAAUGUGAUUUUAUAGACGACUUACAUGGAAGUCGUCCAUCUUUGUUUGUUAAAAAAAAAUUCGAGACGAUUUCCAUGUAAGUCGUCUAGAGAAAACAGGUUAGUUUUGCAUUUGACUGAAUUGUGUCAAAAAUUUGAUUUUUCCUGGACGACUUACACGUAAGUCGUCCACUAAAAAAUUAAAAAAUCAAUAUUUUGUUAUACCUAGACGACUUAUAUGGAAGUCAUCUUAGGUUAGUUUUGCAAUUGAAAAAUAAAACAAAAAAAUAUUUUUUUAGACGACUUACACGGAAGUCGUCCGUCCGACGACUUACAUUAAAGUCGUCCAUGAUUUUAUUCCGAGAUUCUGGUCAAACCUUGCUCAUCUUCCAAGUUCAAUUGUAUAAGAUCGAGAUAAGGUCUUUCUCAACUCUUUCUGGAAUGAAUUAUUUUGUUUAUCUAAGACAAAGCUCAAAUAUAGUACCACAUUCCACCCCCAAACCGAAGUCUUGAACAUAUGCUUGGAGACAUCUUUGAGAUGCUUUGCAUCAAAACAUCCGAGAACUUGGUCGAAAUUUCUGUUUUGGGCAGAAUUAUGGUACAAUACUUCAUACCAAACAUCCCUCAAAACUUGUCCUUUUAAAGUGGUUUAUGGCAUCCUCCUGUGAUCAGUUACGAGGAAGGAUCUACAAAUAAUAUGGAGUUGGAAGGCUUACUUAAGGAGAGGGAUCGUAUGUUGGCAGACAUUAAGAAUUAGUUAAGUCAUGCUCAACAAUUGAUGCGUGAGAGUGCAAAUAAACAUUGUCGCCAUGUGGAGUUUGAAGUAGGCACUAUUGUUUAUUUGAAGCUCAAACUUUAUAGGCAGUAAUCAGUUGUUAAAAGACUGUGUCAGAAGCUUUCAGCUCAUUAGUUUGGUCCAUUCAAAGUCAUGGAACGGACUGGUAGAGUGACCUACCAUUUAAAGUUGUUGAUCAAAUCCAAACGGUGGGUCACAACUAAAGGCAGUGGUGUAAUCUGAUCACACUAUUAAUCCAUUACCUCCGCAAUGCCUUGAUUAGAAGGGUCUAGUUUUACAACCACGUGAUGUGAUUGGUACUCGUUAUGACACUGCAGCACGCCUACAUGUGUUGGUAAAAUGUCUUGGAAUGCCAUCACAUGAAACUACUUGGAUGUUGAUUGCAAACUUUAUAUCACAGUUUCCUUCUUAUGCUCUUGAGGGUAAAUUUAAUGACGGAGGGGGAGGGGGUAUUGAUAAGUGUGAUCGUUGUUAGAUAAGAAGUAGAAAGAGAGAGAAGGAAGGAAUCAAGCGAACCGAAGAUGAGCUUGAAGUUGAAGAUGAUGAGCUUGGAGUUUGAAGCUUGAUGAUUGGUGAAUAAGAGUUAGUUAGAAGUUUGUUGUAUUCUGUUAGAGUGAGCUUUGGUAUUGUAGAUUGAGUAUGUUGAGUUGAGGAGUUUCUCGUUACGGUUAGGCCUACGAGUACUCAUUGAUUUACAAUAUCAAUUUAACUAUUCAUUCAAUAAAGAUUGCAAUUGCUUUGAGAGGAUUGAGUUCGGAAUCGAGAUUACAUAUCAAAACUCUAUUCAAUGGGGUUUGUUGUAUGUUCACUUACAUUUUUUUGAUAGUUUAUCUCUUGCCAUAGUUUGUGGUCUGUUCGUAUAGAUGGAUUUGUGGUCUAUUCAUUAGCUUAUCUCUUGCCAUAGUUUCAAACAAAAAGCAUCAGUAUCACUAUGAUAAUAAUUGAAUGAAGAUAAUCUGUUCACUUACAUUUCUGAAUAUUAUCUCUUCGUUUUCCUACUGAUGAUAAUUGUGUUUCAUUUUGGAUGUGUUUGUGGCCUGUUCACUUUUAUUCAUUACCUCUCAAGAUAAAACAACACAUAAUUCAAAUAUCAUCGUUUAGGAUAAUGAUACUGGUGCUUUUUGUUAAAAAUAUGGCAACAUAUAAGCUUUUGUUGACUUUUUUAUUAAGAUCAGUUUGUACGUAUAACUAAAACUCCUCUGAUUGAUGAGUGAUAGUUUAGCUUUGUAUGGUUGACUGAUAAUUCUAGUAUCUGUCCAUGGACUUGGUUCGCUUUUUAAUAUGACUGUUUUGAUUGUGUUCAAGUGUAUAAACUCUUUCCUUGGCUGAUGUUUAGUCAAUGGUUUAUGUUUGAGUUGCUUCUACCUAAGGUAUAAACAGUGAGUGUUGGUCACUGAAUCUUUACAUUUUGUUUGAUGGGUUUUCUUGUUUUUUGUUUGCUUUAGCUAGUAAUAUGUUUAAUGGUUCAUUGCUUAACAUGGUUUGUGUAUCUGAUAAUUGAUGAAUGAUGACUUACGUGAUUUGUUUCAAACUUCUGCAGCUCUUAGUGUUGAAUGGGAGAAGCAUAUAUGCUGCUAAUAAGAACACUCUUUCUCAAAAUUUUCAAAAAAAUAUUUUACAGGAAAGCAACAGAUUGGAGUACCUGAUACCUAAAAGAACGUCACUGAAACAUAGGCUACCAAUGGGAGACCAAGGAUUCACAGACUUUGUAGGUAAUCUUCUAGAGAUAAACCCCAUAAAGCGUCUUUCUGCGUCAGAGGCUCUCAAGCAAUCUUGGCUUUCAUACCCAUACGAACCAGUAUCUGCUUAAAUCUUCUGAAAUAACCAAUGACUUACGUUUGCUACUAAAAACAACAGAUUAGUAUGAAAAGCCUUUUUAUUUGUGCAAGGAUCAAUCUCCUUUUUGGUGCAUGAUUGUUUAACGUUGUAGAUGUAUUUUCUAGUCAAGAGAGGCUAUGUGAAUGUAAAGGUAAGAUAUUUAUAGAAGAAACAUAACUCUUUUUGUGACAUUUGAUUAUAAAUCAUGUAACACUGCUGUUGACAAACUUGUGAUUAUUAUUCUCUUAGAUAACGAUUGUAGUAAAACUCAUUUUUUUAUCAUCUUUUAAUUCUUAGUCCUUUGAUUAUCAUUAUUAGUUAUCAGUGUUGUUUACUUUGAUGUUUUGAGUAAUUUAUUGGGCCACCCCAAUAUAAUGAAGGGUUUUUGAAAUUUAAUUAUCAAAAUUUCAUCAUAAAUUGAAUUUUGAAAUAUUAAAAAGUUGUUAAGAAAAAAAAAGUUUUAUAAGCAGAAAAUGAGGUUUAUUGCAAUUUAGUUAUAAAAAUUCAUCAUUAGUUGAAUUUUUGAAACAUUAAAAGUUUUUGUUAAAAGGUUUAAUUAGCAAAAAAUAAAGUUGUGAAUAGUUUCUUUGUUUAUUUAGUUUUUUUUUGGAUAAAGAUUUUUAUUUAUUAUUUUGUUUUAGUUUAGCUUAUGAUUUAUAACAAAAAAGCUUUUAUAUUUAUAUAUUUGACUAAAAAUUUAUUACCAUUUAAUAUAAUAUUUUUUAUAGAUGUAAAUAUAUUUAAACUACAUAUUUAUUUUAAAUAUAAUUAUAAAAUUUAUAAAAAUAAAAUAUAAAUUAAAUGAAAAACAGCUGCAGCGUCUACCAAAUAAACAACACUAAUAUACGUCCAGCGUGAUGACAAAAAAAUAUAUAGGUGUCCCGCAUCAACGUCUAGCGUCAGCGUUAACAUUCAACAUCUUAAAAACGAACAACAACCAAACGAAAAAUGAGGCAGACACAACCGCAGCCGAGCACUGAUCUGCAAACACAGUAGAACCAUCUAAGAAAUGCAGGACGAUCAUGGUUACUCUCUGCCACUCGAUCUUGGUGACCGUUCAAAUCAACUGGAUAACACCUUGAGCAGGAACAGAUGCCAAGUGAUGGAUAACACUUAUAUAACAUUUGGCUAUGGUGACUUCUUCGCCUAUAAACUUCUGAUACUCACUCUCUCCUGUGUAAUCAAGAUUCGAGAGAUGAUGUGUAAGUUCUAUUCGUGUUGCUGAACAUCACAAAGUUGGUUUUCUCAAGUGACUUUCUGCUCCAUGUUCCAUACCCUUAGAAUCCAUUCUCCUCUACUGCUGAUUGAAUUUGAAGAACGACCAGACACAACGGGAAGAAGAGGACCUAGUGGCAAUACUCAAUGAGAGCAUUGAAUAGUCCGGAGAUAGAUUCGACGAUCGAAGGGUCAAUCUUGAUGCCAACUUGAGUAAAGGUUUUUGCUUUAUCAAUGGUGGAGUCCAUACAUUCCCAUGGCUCGUCAGAGACAAGAUAACGGUCUCCUAGGCGAUUCUAUAAACAUGGUUUCCAUCGAUCCUGUGUAUCUAUGUGGCACCCAUUUCAAUCUUCUCGGUGGAGAACUCGGAGGUCGAUGUUUGUGCCCUGUUGAGAAGGUUUAACUUUUCAUUCUGAAUGCAGGAUAAUAGGCUCAAUAAAACUUCAUGGCCCAUAACUUAAGAGUAACCGGAAGCAAAAACAGAACUUAAAAAGAGAUGACAUGGCGCGCUAUGUGAAAAGAAUAUCCUACUUUAUAUAUAUACUAGUGGCAUUUCCGCGCUUCGCGCGGGAUGUAUUAUAUUCGGUUAAACAUAAGUUUUGUUUGUAUAUACUUAUUGGUUUAGUUAUUUUAUAAAUUUAUUCUUUAUUUUUUUUAAAUUUCUAAUGUAUAUACUAUUUAUCAUUAAGUAUAUUUUUUGUAUUUUUAGAUAUGUGCUGAAUUGGUCUCAAGAAGUUGAAACUAUGCAUGAAUGUUCAGUUUUCGGUUCAGUUCAUGUUUCUUUUCCUCGGUUUUUUAUUUUUUUGGUUUUAGAAUUAUAGGAACCAUUCAAUUAGUUAUGAAAGUUUCUUUAGUCUUGGUUUGGUUAUUUUGGUCUUUAGUUUAGUUUGGGUACCAAUCAUAAGAACCAACUAAUAUCCAAUAAACUUUUGGUUCCAAUUCGGUUCUGAUUUUUGGUUAAUUUUGGAUAAUUCGCAUAAAAAUCAGAUCUUUUCAGUUUUGGGAUUUAAUAUCGGAUAAUCCAUAUAAAUUUUAAUAUUGAAACAAACACUAUUUGGAUAAUUCUGUUAUUUCGGGUAACUCAAAUAAAUUUAAAUAUUUUGGAUAAAUAAAUAUUCGGGUAUUUCAUAUUUUAUUAAUAUUAUUUUUUGGUAAUUUAAGACUAAAUAUAAUUUAUAAUUUAAGUACUCAUUCAGUUUUCUGUUCGGUUCUAACACGGUUAUAUUUUUUCAGUUUUAGAAAUAUAUGAACUGCUCGGUUAUUUGUGAAAUAUUUCAGUUUCAGAUUCAUUUUUUUUGUGGGCUUCGAUUCGGCUUUUUCUUCUUAAUUAAUAUGCUGAGCAUAGUUGAAACCAUAGUGAUAGUGCAUGUUUUGUUAUUUUUUGUUUGCACAUUUUUAUUGUAUUUAUUUGUUGCUCAUGUUCAGUGGUGGCACAUAAUUUUUAUUUCAAUUUUUCAGGUAUUUGGUUUAUAAAUAAUUUUUUAAUUUUUUGGUAAUUUUAUAACUAAAUAGAAUUACUAUUUUAGUUUCUUAUUUGGCUCGAUGAUACGAUUUUGAUUUUUCAGCUUCAAAAAUAUAUAAACCGAUCGAUUGUUUAUGAAUUUUGGUUUAGUUUUGGUUUGUCUUUUUUGUUGACUUCAAUUCGGUUUUCGGUUCUUAAUUUAUAUGCACGCAUAGUUGAAAUGUAAGUGGUGUCACAUGUUUUGUUAUUUUUUGUUUGCACAUUUUUUUAUUGUAAUUUUUUAUUUGUUGCAUAUUUAUUGUUAUGAAAAUAAUGUGUAUUGAGAGGCACAAAACUUAACCCUCAUUGUAAAUAUGUUUUGAGAAAUUCUGUGUGAUUAUGUUUUUUUGUGUGUUGUGCCCAGGGGCGAAGCCACUCACAGAGUUAGGUGUACACGUGCACCCAUAAAAAUUUGGAUAAUUAAAUUUUUGUUGGUUAAAUCUGCAUAAUGCUAUUAGAUAAUGUGGUUAGAAUCAUCUAGUGCACCCACAAUUAACCCAGGUUCGAUCCUUAGAUAGUGUUUUUUGUAUUUUAAAUUAAAUGUGCACCCAGUCUAUAAGUGUUCUGCAUUCGCCCCUGGUUGUGCCUUUAUUUUGAGAGUGAAUGUUAUAUUAUGAUAUCUAGGAAAUCGUGUUAUAGAAAGAAUUUUAUGGGGUUGAUGUUAUUUCAUGUGAUACUUCAUACUUGCCAUGGUCCAUGAACCGCGAGUCACCAGAGAGCCUCGUGAAAUUAUCAACCAUCCAUCUCACCUUCUUUGCGUUUACCUUUCAUCUACCAAGAGCAUGUCAACGCCCAUGAGUUCACCUUCUUUCUUCGCAUUCCAAGCCUCCCCAACAGGAGCAAUCGCACCUCGGCUGGUUUAGGACAACAUUCGGCUUUCAAUUCAGUUAGACGUAGGUCACUGUGGACAUUGAAGAUAGCUGAACUGCAGAUAGAGGAUGUGGAAUUUUUUUUUGAUAAGAAGAGAGAAUGUGAAAUGAUUUGAUGGAAUUUGUGAUUUUUAGUGAAUCCAACUAUGGUAUUUAUGGUUAUAGGUGUAGUUUUCAGAUGUUUCCAUGGCGGUGUGAGUGAACUAAUGCGAGAGAGUGGAGGUAGUGAUGAGAACGACAUUAAUGAGAUCAUUAUAGUGGUUGACUGAAUUCAGAGGAAAGGCGUUAUGUAAACCGACAGUUUUUGUUGGCUAAUUUGUUCCGACAAGAUCGAAGAAGAAAGACUUUUGGACCGAGAUUUUGGAAUAAUGAUAGGUCCAAACAAAUAAAUCAAAUGCAACAUGAUGCUUUCGUAAGUAGACGACCCAUUUUUCAGAAACAAAGAGUGAGGAAACAACGCCACGUGUCACAUUUUAGAAUAGCCUUCGCUGAGGUGGCGCAUUGUGGAGCCUUUCUAGUCAACUUUAUUAGUAUAGAUACUAGAUAUGAGCAUGUGCGUUGCAACAGGUUUUUUUGGAUGUUUUAAUUUAAUAAAAAAAUAAAUAAUUUUAUUAUACUUUUAGGAUUAUUUUUGCAUAUGAUGUGUGAGACUUAUUUUAUAAUUAAGAACUCAUUUUUACACAUAAAUUACAGUUAAUAUUUGUAUUUUAUAAUCAUAGUGCAUAUGUGAAUUCUUAUCAAUUUUCUACUAAGUGCUAGAGAAAACACUCAUACCUAUAACUUUAAACCCAACCCAACCGAAUUAAGAAUUAGAAUAUAAGAAAAUUGAAAGUUAAAUAAGGCCAAUCGAGUCAAUGACAACAUAAUACACUUUCUUAUUUAAUAAUUUAAUAUUUUAUUAAACUUAUCUGAUUCUUAAUAAUUUUCUUAAUUCAUUAUUUCUUAAUGAUAUAUUCAUAACAUUAUUUUAAUUAAAAAUGAAGUAGAAAAAUAUUACAUAGUAAAAAAAAUGUAAUAAGAUGGCGAUUAAACUUGAUUUUUUAACAAAAUGCAUAUAAAAAUAACUUCAGUGACAAUAAUAAUAAUAAUCUAUUUCUUAUGACCAAACAUGAAAAUAUAUAUUUCAGACAUGUGUAUAAUUUUCGUAUGACCAAACAUAUAUAAAUAGCAAUCAUGAACACAUCCUAAUUUUUUUAUUUUUGUUAAUUAAAUAGUUUUAACAUCAAACUUGUCAUCAAAUUCUUUUUUUUUAAUUAUUAUUACAUAAUUUUACAAUUUGUUUUUGUUUAGAUUUUUUUUAAGGGAUCCUUUUCAUUUACAGUCAAAUAUAUAUAUCAAAUACUCUUUUACAUUUUUGUUUUAGGAUUUUAGAAAAGGAAAAUUACUAUCAUAUAAUCUUUUACAAUUUUCUUCUGUUUAAAAUUUUAGAAAAAUUAAAUUGUUCUCAGAUAAUUAUUUCUAGUUACUAUUAAAUAAGUUUAAAAAUACUAUUUAUACAAUUCGUAUCUAAACUAAUUUAAACAGAUUGAGUAAUUUUUUAGUAUCAUACUCAUCAUCAAAUUCUCUCUUAAAAAUGUUACGAAAUAUAUUUU